GUGGAUACUCCAACUUGCAUUUUGUAAUGUGGUAAGAUUAGAAAAGUUAUGUCUCUUUAAAUGAACAUAAUUUAAAAAUAUUUAAAAAAUUUUUAUUGACAUUUUUUGCAAGUUUGAAUGAGAAGGGGAGGGGGCGUUGGAUGUAGCACACAUUCCUACCUGUACUAACAUAUUAUAAUAAUCUUGAUUACUUGUUUCUCUUUUCCAAUAAACUUAAUUUAAAACUAUUUUUCAAAUAUCUUUUAAAAUUUUUUUUUAGGUUGGAUGUGACUGGGCAGAAAGGGGGGCGUUUGGCGUGGCACAUGUCCCGUCCCUUAUGUCAACUUAUACACCACUUGUAUAUGCUGUAAAGUUCAAAUAUUUAUAACAAUGUAGCAUUUCACUACGAGGGUGUUAAAACGUAACAAAGACAUCAACACUUCAAUCUAAAAUAGAACACUAAUAUUUGGAAAUGGAUUGGAAGCAAAUUGGAACAAUUUUUUGUGUAUAAAGAUGACAUAUUUUAUCAGAAAAACACUCUUUCGUGUGAAAAA